UAUUUGUUGUAAUAUAAUAUGAUAACCAGACAACAGUAACAACAAUGUAACGAACUAAUAAAUCUCUUUACGAAUCAACAAUCAAUAUUCCUUGUGAACUAACCAACCGACACCUUCCGACACAAACUUCACUCAACUCCAAACUCUGAUC